CCUACGGGAGGCAGCAGUAGGGAAUAUUGCUCAAUGGGGGAAACCCUGAAGCAGCAACGUCGCGUGGGGGAUGAAGGUUUUCGUAUUGUAAACUCCUUUUAGUAGAGAAGAUAAUGACGGUAUCUAACGAAUAAGCACCGGCUAACUACGUGCCAGCAGCCGCGGUAAUACGGAGGGUGCAAGCGUUACUCGGAAUCACUGGGCGUAAAGAGAGCGUAGGCGGGAUAGCAAGUCAGGUGUGAAAUGCUACGGCUUAACCAUAGAACUGCAUUUGAAACUGUUAUUCUAGAGUAUGGGAGGGGUAAGCGGAAUUCUUGGUGUAGCGGUGAAAUGCGUAGAGAUUAAGAGGAAUACUCAUUGCGAAGGCGACCUGCUAGAACAUAACUGACGUUGAGGCGCGAAAGCGUGGGGAGCAAACAGGAUUAGAUACCCGAGUAGUC
rnacentral:rRNA from 1 species